rnacentral:rRNA from 1 species
AGAGUUUGAUUCUGGCUCAGAGUGAACGCUGGCGGCGUGGAUUAGGCAUGCAAGUCGCGCGAUCUCGCAAGAGAUAGCGGCAAACGGGUUAGGAACACGUAAAUAAUCUUCCUCGUAUUCAAACAUAGCCUUAUGAGAAUAAGGGUAAUAUUUGAUAAUACCGUUGUGUGGCAUCACAUGACGUUUAAAGCAGGGGACCGCAAGGCCUUGCGAUAUGAGAUGAGUUUGCGUAGCAUCAGCUAGUUGGUAGGGUAAUGGCCUACCAAGGCAAUGACGCUUAGCUGGUCUGAGAGGACGAUCAGCAACACUGGGACUGAGACACUGCCCAGACUCCUACGGGAGGCUGCAGUCGAGAAUAUUUAGCAAUGGACGAAAGUCUGACUAUGCGACGCCGCGUGAGGGAUGAAGGAUUUCGGUUCGUAAACCUCUUUUGGCAGGGAAGAAAAUUACCAAUCUAAUAGAUUGGGAUCUGACGGUACCUGCAGAAUAAGCCACGGCUAACUCCGUGCCAGCAGCCGCGGUAAUACGGAGGUGGCAAGCGUUACUCGGAAUUAUUGGGUGUAAAGGGCAAGUAGGCGGUUUAUUAAGUGGGUGGUGAAAUACUCCGGCUCAAUCGGAGAACAGCCUUCCAAACUGAUAGGCUUGAGUGUGACAGAGGAAAUUGGAAUUCUCGGUGUAAGGGUGAAAUCUGUAGAUAUCGAGAAGAACACCAGCAGCGAAGGCGAAUUUCUGGGUCACUACUGACGCUAAAUUGCGAAAGCUAGGGGAGCAAACAGAAUUAGAUACUCUGGUAGUCCUAGCCGUAAACGAUGAGCACUAGGUGUUGGCCCCUUUAGGGGUCGGUGCCGCAGCUAACGCAUUAAGUGCUCCACCUGGGGACUACGGUCGCAAGGCUAAAACUCAAAGGAAUUGACGGGGGCCCGCACAAGCGGUGGAACAUGUGGUUUAAUUCGAAGCUACGCGAAAAACCUCACCAGGGCUUGACAUACAGGAAGUAGUGAAAUGAAAGUGGAACGACCCGUUAAGUCGGGAACCUGAACAGGUGCUGCAUGGCUGUCGUCAGCUCGUGUCGUGAGAUGUUGGGUUAAGUCCCGCAACGAGCGCAACCAUUAUCAUUUGUUGCCACUUUAUUUAUCUUUGAUAAGUAGAAGCACUCUAAUGAGACUGCCCAGGAUAACGGG